rnacentral:rRNA from 1 species
AGAGUUUGAUCCUGGCUCAGGACGAACGCUGGCGGCGUGCCUAAUACAUGCAAGUCGAGCGGACCGGAUCGGAGCUUGCUCUGAUUUGGUCAGCGGCGGACGGGUGAGUAACACGUGGGCAACCUGCCCGCAAGACCGGGAUAACUCCGGGAAACCGGAGCUAAUACCGGAUAACACCGAAGACCGCAUGGUCUUCGGUUGAAAGGCGGCCUUUGGGCUGUCACUUGCGGAUGGGCCCGCGGCGCAUUAGCUAGUUGGUGAGGUAACGGCUCACCAAGGCGACGAUGCGUAGCCGGCCUGAGAGGGUGACCGGCCACACUGGGACUGAGACACGGCCCAGACUCCUACGGGAGGCAGCAGUAGGGAAUCUUCCGCAAUGGGCGAAAGCCUGACGGAGCGACGCCGCGUGAGCGAAGAAGGCCUUCGGGUCGUAAAGCUCUGUUGUGAGGGGCGAAGGAGCGCCGUUCGAAGAGGGCGGCGCGGUGACGGUACCUCACGAGAAAGCCCCGGCUAACUACGUGCCAGCAGCCGCGGU